rnacentral:rRNA from 1 species
CCCAGACGGGGGAACGGCGAACGGCUCAGUAAUGUUGCGGUGAUCUGCUCUGGUUGAGAAAGAUAACCACGGUAAACUGUGGCUAAGAGACCAGAAUGAGCUGCAACCCUAUCAGUUUGUUGGAAGUGUAAAGACUCCCAAGACGUCGACGGGUAACGGGAAAUCAGUGUUUGAUUCCGGAGAGGGAGCCUGAGAGAUGGCUCCCACGUCCAAGGAUGGCAGCAGGCGCGAAAAUUGUCCACUCUUUGGAAAGGAGACAGUUAUGAGGCGUGAUUAAAAGAGCGAAGUGUAAACACCUUCGUGUAACGCAAUUGGAGGGCAAGUUUUGGUGCCAGCAGCCGCGGUAAUUCCAACUCCAAGAGUGCCCAUGGUGGAUGCUGCAGUUAAAAAGUCCGUAGUCGUAGAUGCAAUUAAAGGGUGCGGAUCAAGCGCACUGAGUUUG